CAAUAGCGUAUAUUAAAGUUGUUGCAGUUAAAAAGCUCGUAGUUGGAUUUCUGGUUGAAGCGACCGGUCGGGCGUUGAUUCGUCUGCACUGGAGUCGGUUUUGGCCAUCCUCUAGGAAAGUGCGUCUGGUAUUAAGUUAUCGGGCGUAUGAUCCUGGUCUUUUACUGUGAAAAAAUUAGAGUGUUUAAAGCAGGCCUUCGCCUUGAAUACAUUAGCAUGGAAUAAUAAGAUAGGACUUUGGUCUAUUUUGUUGGUUUGCAGACCGAAGUAAUGAUUAAUAGGGAUAGUUGGGGGUAUUUAUAUUCCGAUGUCAGAGGUGAAAUUCUUAGAUUUUCGGAAGAUAAACUUAUGCGAAAGCAUUUACCAAGGAUGCUUUCAUUAA
rnacentral:rRNA from 1 species